UAUAUUUUUUUUUUUACUUUUUAUUACAGAUUUAAAUGAAACUGGACUGAUAUCCAGUUUCCAACUGUGAGAAGACUAUUUACUAAUGGAUGAAAAAUUUAGAAAAAAAUCCUGUAUAUUUGGGUAGACACCUCAAGUGUGCUGCUACAAUGCACUUGACAAUCUCUACUCAGUUGCAUAUUUUCAACAAACUUUAUUAAAAAUAUUACUUGAUUUACAAAAA